rnacentral:rRNA from 1 species
UACGUAGGGGGCGAGCGUUGUCCGGAAUGAUUGGGCGUAAAGGGCGCGUAGGCGGCGCAUUAAGUCUGGAGUGGAAGUCCUGCUUUCAAGGUGGGAAUUGCUUUGGAAACUGAUGUGCUUGAGUGUGGGAGAGGAAAGCGGAAUUCCCGGUGUAGCGGUGAAAUGCGUAGAGAUCGGGAGGAACACCAGUGGCGAAGGCGGCUUUCUGGACCAUAACUGACGCUGAGGCG